rnacentral:rRNA from 1 species
ACAUGCUAUCGGAUNCGGGGGCCUACGUGGGAUUAGCUAGUUGUGGGGUAAUGGCUCACCAAGGCGACGAUCCCUAGCUGGUUUGAGAGGAUGAUCAGCCACACUGGAACUGAGACACGGUCCAGACUCCUACGGGAGGCAGCAGUGGGGGAAUAUUGGACAAUGGGCGAAAGCCUGAUCCAGCAAUGCCGCGUGAGUGAUGAAGGCCUUCGGGUUGUAAAGCUCUUUUACUCGGGACGAUAAUGACGGUACCGAGAGAAUAAGCCCCGGCUAACUCCGUG